AAUUGCCAUCAUUUAGUUGGGCACUUUAAAGAGACUGCCGGUGUUAAGCCGGAGGAAGUGGGGAUGACGUCAAGUCCUCAUGGCCUUUAUGCCCAGGGCUACACACGUGCUACAAUGGGCGGUACAAAGAGAAGCAACCUCGCGAGGGUGAGCAAAUCUCAAAAAGCCGUUCUCAGUUCGGAUUGAAGUCUGCAACUCGACUUCAUGAAGUCGGAAUCGCUAGUAAUCGCGGAUCAGCAUGCCGCGGUGAAUACGUUCCCGGGCCUU
rnacentral:rRNA from 1 species